GGUAGCAUAAUCAUUAGUCUUUUAAUUGGAGACUGGUAUGAAUGGCUAAACGAGAGAUCAACUUUUUUUACCGUAAAAAUUGAAUUUAACUUUUUAGUGAAAAGGCUAAAAUUUUUCAGAAAGACGAGAAGACCCUAUAGAGUUUUAUAAAGGACUAAUACUUUUUAUUUGGAUUUUUAUAAAAAAUAUUAAUAAAUUUAUUUUGUUGGGGCGACAUUUAGAUAAAAAAAACUCUUUAUAAGAAAAAUUUUUAUGAAAAUAUGGAUUGAUCCUUUAAAAAAGAUCAUAAGAAAAAAUUCCCUUAGGGAUAACAGCGUAAUCUUUUUUGAGAGUUCUAAUCGACAAGAAGGUUUGCGACCUCGAUGUUGGACUAAAAUUAGGGCAGGGU
rnacentral:rRNA from 1 species